rnacentral:rRNA from 4 species
UUUGGUGGCGAUAGCGAAGAGGUCACACCCGUUCCCAUACCGAACACGGAAGUUAAGCUCUUCAGCGCCGAUGGUAGUUGGGGGCUUCCCCCUGUGAGAGUAGGACGCCGCCAAGC